CAAGUUUUGCUCCAUGAGCUAAUGUGGAUGCGAAAAGCGGGUUCCUGUGUUGCAUACCCUAUUGCGGCGGAAAUUUGUGCCUAUUGUUGUCCCUUUUCAACACGACAUCCUCUUCGGGUGCUCGGUUGGACUAGAUAGUGGGGCUUGUGUUCCUCGAACAUCUCAUUUGAUGGUUCGGAUGGACCGCGAGUGCUUACUUGUCCUCUCGGAUGCGGAACUUUAUUCAUGGGUGUGUUGGGGUCAUUGGCCCUUGUUCCCAAUCUCAAGCGUUUAUCGCUUUACUGGAAUGACGCUCUUGCCUUGUCUUUGACCGCGUUGAGCUCGAGAGCUCCACGAUGGGAUCAUGCUUGGCGGACGUCGUGAAGGAAUGCUACCUGGUUGAUCCUGCCAGUAGUCAUAUGCUUGUCUCAAAGAAUAAGCCAUGCAUGUGAAGAUAA
rnacentral:misc_RNA from 1 species